rnacentral:rRNA from 1 species
UACGUAGGGAGCAAGCGUUGUCCGGAAUCAUUGGGCGUAAAGCGCGCGUAGGCGGCCCGAUAAGUCCGCUGUAAAAGUCAACGGCUCAACUGUUGAAAGCCGGUGGAUACUGUCGGGCUAGAGUACGGAAGAGGCAAGUGGAAUUCCUGGUGUAGCGGUGAAAUGCGCAGAUAUCAGGAAGAACACCCGUGGCGAAAGCGGCUCUCUAGGACGGUACUGACGCUGAGACGCGAAAGCGUGGGGAGCGAACAGG